ACAAUGUUGUAGCCGAAACGGCGCGCCCAAAACUGCGGCGCGACGUACGGGGGACCCAGAAUCUGGGGCGCAUUCCCGCAAGGGAUAGGGUACUUCUCCUGCCCGAGCCCGUCAGCUAACCUCGUAGGCAAUAAGGGAAGGGCAA
rnacentral:sRNA from 2 species